CACGUAGGGCGCAAGCGUUGUCCGGAUUUAUUGGGCGUAAAGAGCGUGUAGGCGGCCAGGUAGGUCUGGUGUGAAAACUCGAGGCUUAACCUCGAGAUGUCAUCGGAAACCAUUUGGCUAGAGUCCGGAAGAGGAGAGUGGAAUUCCUGGUGUAGCGGUGAAAUGCGCAGAUAUCAGGAAGAACACCAAUGGCGAAAGCAGCUCUCUGGGACGGUACUGACGCUGAGACGCGAAAGCGUGGGGAGCGAACAGG
rnacentral:rRNA from 1 species